UGCCCGACACCGCGAUACGCGCGGCCACC
rnacentral:sRNA from 1 species